rnacentral:rRNA from 1 species
GACGAAGGGCUCGGCUGUUAUUCGUUUUGAUUGGGUGUAAAGGGUAUGUAGGCGGUUAACCGGCAAUACCGGGUCAAAGCGCGGGGUGUUCCUUUGCGAGAGCCCGGAUGUUAGUGGUGAACUUGUGUUGACUAAGGGUUUAGGCAAAUUCGUACGGAGGGGUAGAAUCCAGCGAUGUACGAAUGAACGCCAGCUGGCACAGGCGCUUUUCCAGAUUCAACAGACGCUGAGGUACGGAAGCGUAGGGAGCAAACGGG